AGAGUUUGAUCCUGGCUCAGAUUGAACGCUGGCGGCAUGCCUAACACAUGCAAGUCGAACGGCAGCACAUUAGGUAGUAAUACCUAUGGGUGGCGAGUGGCGGACGGGUGAGUAAUACGUAGGAAUCUGCCUUAUGGUUUGGGAUAACUUGGGGAAACUCGAGCUAAUACCAAAUAAGCUCUACGGAGGAAAGGAUGGGACUAGAAAUAGCCAUUCGCGAUAAGAUGAUCCUACGUCGGAUUAGCUAGUUGGUGGGGUAAAGGCCUACCAAGGCAAGGAUCCGUAGCUGGUCUGAGAGGAUGGACAGCCACACUGGGACUGAGACACGGCCCAGACUCCUACGGGAGGCAGCAGUGGGAAUAUUGGACAAUGGGGGCAACCCUGAUCCAGCGAUGCCGCGUGUGCGAAGAAGGCCUGCGGGUUGUAAAGCACUUUGGUUGGGGAAGAAAUACUUGUGUUUAAGAGAUGCAAGGGAUGACGUUACCCAAAGAACAAGCACCGGCUAACUCUGUGCCAGCAGCCGCGGUAAUACAGAGGGUGCGAGCGUUAAUCGGAAUUACUGGGCGUAAAGGGCGCGUAGGCGGCGAUUUAAGUUAGAUGUGAAAUCCCUGGGCUUAACCUAGGACUUGCAUUUAAGACUGAGUUGCUAGAGUAAUGUAGAGGGAAGUGGAAUUUCCGGUGUAGCGGUGAAAUGCGUAGAUAUCGGAAAGAACAUCAGUGGCGAAGGCGGCUUCCUGGACAUAUACUGACGCUGAGGCGCGAAAGCAUGGGUAGCAAACAGGAUUAGAUACCCUGGUAGUCCAUGCUGUAAACGAUGAUAACUAGAUGCUGGCAGGUAAAACCUGUAAGUAUCGAAGCAAACGCGAUAAGUUAUCCGCCUGGGGAGUACGGCCGCAAGGCUAAAACUCAAAGGAAUUGACGGGGGCCCGCACAAGCGGUGGAGCAUGUGGUUUAAUUCGAUGCAACGCGAAGAACCUUACCUACCCUUGACAUCCUGGGAAUCUUAUAGAGAUAUGAGAGUGCCGAAAGGAACCCAGAGACAGGUGCCGCAUGGCUGUCGUCAGCUCGUGUCGUGAGAUGUUGGGUUAAGUCCCGUAACGAGCGCAACCCUUGUCCUUAGUUGCCAGCACGUAAAGGUGGGAACUCUAAGGAGACUGCCGGUGAUAAACCGGAGGAAGGUGGGGAUGAGGUCAAGUCAUCAUGGCCUUUAUGGGUAGGGCCACACACGUGCUACAAUGGUUGUUACAAAGGGAAGCGAACCUGCGAAGGGGAGCAAAUCUCAAAAAGGCAAUCGUAGUCCGGAUUGGAGUCUGCAACUCGACUCCAUGAAGUUGGAAUCGCUAGUAAUCGCGGAUCAGAACGCCGCGGUGAAUACGUUCCCGGGCCUUGUACACACCGCCCGUCACACCAUGGGAGUGGGUUGUACCAGAAGUAGGUAGUUUAACCGCAAGGGGAACGCUUACCACGGUAUGAUUCAUGACUGGGGUGAAGUCGUAACAAGGUAACC
rnacentral:rRNA from 1 species